rnacentral:rRNA from 1 species
GGAUCCACACUUUGAUUCUGGCUCAGGAUGAACGCUAGCUACAGGCUUAACACAUGCAAGUCGAGGGGCAGCAUGGUCUUAGCUUGCUAAGGCUGAUGGCGACCGGCGCACGGGUGAGUAACACGUAUCCAACCUGCCGUCUACUCCUGGCCAGCCUUCUGAAAGGAAGAUUAAUCCAGGAUGGCAUCAUGAGUUCACAUGUCCGCAUGAUUAAAGGUAUUUUCCGGUAGACGAUGGGGAUGCGUUCCAUUAGAUAGUAGGCGGGGUAACGGCCCACCUAGUCAACGAUGGAUAGGGGUUCUGAGAGGAAGGUCCCCCACAUUGGAACUGAGACACGGUCCAAACUCCUACGGGAGGCAGCAGUGAGGAAUAUUGGUCAAUGGGCGAUGGCCUGAACCAGCCAAGUAGCGUGAAGGAUGACUGCCCUAUGGGUUGUAAACUUCUUUUAUAAAGGAAUAAAGUCGGGUAUGCAUACCCGUUUGCAUGUACUUUAUGAAUAAGGAUCGGCUAACUCCGUGCCAGCAGCCGCGGUAAUACGGAGGAUCCGAGCGUUAUCCGGAUUUAUUGGGUUUAAAGGGAGCGUAGAUGGAUGUUUAAGUCAGUUGUGAAAGUUUGCGGUUCAACCGUAAAAUUGCAGUUGAUACUGGAUGUCUUGAGUGCAGUUGAGGCAGGCGGAAUUCGUGGUGUAGCGGUGAAAUGCUUAGAUAUCACGAAGAACUCCGAUUGCGAAGGCAGCCUGCUAAGCUGCAACUGACAUUGAGGCUCGAAAGUGUGGGUAUCAAACAGGAUUAGAUACCCUGGUAGUCCACACGGUAAACGAUGAAUACUCGCUGUUUGCGAUAUACGGCAAGCGGCCAAGCGAAAGCGUUAAGUAUUCCACCUGGGGAGUAC